CUCAACGAAAAGGAAAAGAAUCCCAAGAAGAAUAUAGGGAAGAACCAUGUCUCGAUUCGUGUUUGUAUUCGUGCUCCUCGCUGUGGUUGUUGCUGCCCUCCCCGACGACGACAAGGACGAGAAAAAGC